UUUGCUCUAUUUCAAGAUCUUC
rnacentral:siRNA from 1 species